AGUGAACGCUGGCGGUAGGCCUAACACAUGCAAGUCGAACGGCAGCACAGUAAGAGCUUGCUCUUACGGGUGGCGAGUGGCGGACGGGUGAGGAAUACAUCGGAAUCUACUUUUUCGUGGGGGAUAACGUAGGGAAACUUACGCUAAUACCGCAUACGACCUACGGGCGAAAGCAGGGGAUCUUCGGACCUUGCGCGAUUGAAUGAGCCGAUGUCGGAUUAGCUAGUUGGCGGGGUAAAGGCCCACCAAGGCGACGAUCCGUAGCUGGUCUGAGAGGAUGAUCAGCCACACUGGAACUGAGACACGGUCCAGUCUCCUACGGGAGGCAGCAGUGGGGAAUAUUGGACAAUGGGCGCAAGCCUGAUCCAGCCAUACCGCGUGGGUGAAGAAGGCCUUCGGGUUGUAAAGCCCUUUUGUUGGGAAAGAAAAGCAGCAGGUUAAUACCCCGCUGUUCUGACGGUACCCAAAGAAUAAGCACCGGCUAACUUCGUG
rnacentral:rRNA from 1 species